ACGAACGCUGGCGGCGUGCCUAAUACAUGCCAGUUGAGCGAUGAAGAUUGGUGCUUGCACCAAUUUGAAGAGCAGCGAACGGGUGAGUAACGCGUGGGGAAUCUGCCUUUGAGCGGGGGACAACAUUUGGAAACGAAUGCUAAUACCGCAUAACAACUUUAAACAUAAGUUUUAAGUUUGAAAGAUGCAAUUGCAUCACUCAAAGAUGAUCCCGCGUUGUAUUAGCUAGUUGGUGAGGUAAAGGCUCACCAAGGCGAUGAUACAUAGCCGACCUGAGAGGGUGAUCGGCCACAUUGGGACUGAGACACGGCCCAAACUCCUACGGGAGGCAGCAGUAGGGAAUCUUCGGCAAUGGACGAAAGUCUGACCGAGCAACGCCGCGUGAGUGAAGAAGGUUUUCGGAUCGUAAAACUCUGUUGGUAGAGAAGAACGUUGGUGAGAGUGGAAAGCUCAUCAAGUGACGGUAACUACCCAGAAAGGGACGGCUAACUACGUG
rnacentral:rRNA from 1 species